UUAGGGUCACACAAUCAAUUACCUCCUGAAUGUAUUGUCUCUAUUUUUAAUAUCUGAAUAUACAAGGAAACUAUAAUCUCUUCCUUCACCUUAUCGGUCUCUUCCUUACAGCAAUUCAGUCAUACCAAUAAUUACUAUUUCCACCAAUAUAUUCACCCUCAUAAUCUCCAACUGUAAUACUACACCUUCACAGCUUUCAGCACACAAUUAUCCUCGUUCCAAUCUCUGGAAUUCUUCACACAGAACUGCCAUUUACAUUACAGUGUUUCACACAAACACAGACUCAUUCUCUCUGCUGAACUAUAAUCAGAUUUCAGUAUUCAAUCUU
rnacentral:lncRNA from 1 species